rnacentral:lncRNA from 1 species
CCUGAGAAAUAGUCGUUCCUCUUGUUAGGAUGUGGAGAUUAAUCCCAAUUGGGCAUCAGGCAUCAGCCAAGUGCUCAAAAACUGUUGAGGAAGGAAACAUUGCAGUUUUUUAAUCAAAGUUCUGGCUGAGUCAGAGCGAUGUUCCAGGUUGGUUCAACCUAACAUAAAUGUUUCGAUGAAAGCUGGUUAGCCUUUACCAUUUCUCCUUAAGUACAGAGUGCUUUAAUUAGAGGAAAGCAAAGCAACAGCUGCUGUGAAUCUGUUCUGCUGUUGAGUUGUCAAUGCAAAGGCUCAAUUUCGAGCACUUCUUACUAAGCUUUCAGUACCAUUCUGGAGUCUGAAUUUACUGGUAUCUAAUGGUGAGAUUUCAACACCAGACAAGGAAAACAUGCUGGCCUUGAACUCAAGCCCUGUUCCUUGGGUUUCGAAUCUGAUCCACGGGGGUCCUGGAGUGCUCGACUGAGGAUUCUAAGACCACUUCAGGGCUCAGCAGCAGACGGUGCCAUGUGCCUGCCUCAGAACUGAGAAGCGAUUUUUACAUCCGCGCUUUCUGACUGACUAAGAGUUCACAGAGCUUUCCUACCACUGAGAAGGCGAUUCCAUUGGUCUAAGAACCCAUCUCUGCACCUCUGCCUGGUUCCUCUGCAGUGGGAUGAAGUGGAAUGGAUUUGGGUUCAAAAUGACCUAGAUUCAAACCUCAGCUCCAAUGCUUACUGGAUGUGUGACUCUGGUUAAGAUAAUCCCGCUUGAGCGAUGAAAAUGAUUGGUUCAUAGUGCUCCCUCAGUAGAGUCAAGGGCAAGCUGGGGAAACUGAAGCAAGGAGGGAUGAAGUGACUUAACCAAGGUCAUGUGAGCUCACGGUGGCAGAUCUGGGAUUGCAAAGCUCAGGAAUUGAAAAUGGCUGUUUCAUCAUUGGAGAGGAAGAAGGAUGUUAUCAGCGCAUUAGCAUCUCUACAGUCAAGCUGAAGUGUGAUUGACUCUGGGCAGUUUGAUCAAUCAAGGUGGUCAACAGGAAGUUAUUUCCUCAAAUAUCGACGUCCUAUGUUUGAAUUGACUACUCUAUCUACCCUCUCAGAGUUUCAGGACACGUCCCCCCGCCACUUUCCGCUUCUGGCAUAUGGUGGUAACAGCUCCCAGUUAUUGCUAGACCCUGAGUGCUGCCACAUCCUUGGAGGAUAGCCCUACCUGCACAGCUGUACAUGAUCCUUUUAUUAAACAAUAAAUGAUAUCAAUUACCC